GACGAACGCUGGCGGCGUGGAUUAGGCAUGCAAGUCGAACGGUAUCAUCCUUUCGGGGGUGAGAGAGUGGCGAACUGGUGAGUAACACGUAGGUUAUCUACCCUCAAGACGGGGACAACCCAGGGAAACUUGGGCUAAUACCGGAUGUGAGCAACUUUUAGUUGUUUGAAAGGUGGCGUAAGCUGUCGCUUGGGGAUGAGCCUGCGUCCUAUUAGUUAGUUGGUGAGGUAACGGCUCACCUAGGCAAUGAUAGGUAGGCGGCCUUAACGGGUGGUCGCCCACACUGGGAUUGAGAUACGGCCCAGACUCCUACGGGAGGCAGCAGUCGAGAAUAGUCUACAAUGGUCGGAAGACUGAUAGUGCGACGCCGCGUGAACGAUGAAUCCCUUCGGGUGUAAAGUUCUUUUAUAUGUGAGCAGUGCUUCUUAUAUUAACAGUAUGGGGAGAGAGAUAUUAGCAUAUGAAUAAGCGACGGCUAACUCCGUGCCAGCAGCCGCGGU
rnacentral:rRNA from 1 species